GAUCCUGGCUCAGGAUAGACGCUAGCGGCAGGCCUAACACAUGCAAGUCGAGGGGCAGCGGGUGAAGUAGCUUGCUACUUCUGCCGGCGACCGGCGCACGGGUGCGUAACGCGUAUGCAACCUACCUUUAACAGGGGAAUAAUCCGAAGAAAUUUGGUCUAAUACCCCAUAAUAUUUCAGAAGGCAUCUUUUGGAGUUGAAAGCUCCGGCGGUUAAAGAUGGGCAUGCGUUGUAUUAGCCAGAUGGUGG
rnacentral:rRNA from 1 species